rnacentral:lncRNA from 1 species
GUUUUAACUUAAAACCCAUUGUAAACACAUUAUAUUGAUGACAUAGACUUCACACUGUGUGUGUCUAUUAAAUGAGUCUAUAAACUUCACUAACAGAGUUGCAGGGUGUUUAAGUUUGAAGAUACUGCCUGAUCCAUCGUUUCACAGAGAAAGAAGCUGAGGUUCAGAGGAGGUAAGUGACCUGCCUGACCAUACACAGCUCUAGUUUUAGAGCCCGGACUAGAGCCAUCUGGUGCCCUUUACAUCUAACUUCCUUAGAGAUGCAUUUACCAUGAAGCCACUAAAGCUUAAACUUCAGGGCCCCUCAAUUGCAGAGGCCUCUUCCAUGCCCCUUGCAGAACAUGAGCAAUGUGUUGCCAUGGCCAUAUAGGUUUUGUAAAAUCUGCAAAAGAAAGAUAUUUUAAACAGGAUCAGUUAAGAACACUCUCUUCCCAUUCUGACUUCCCCAUCACACUUCCCCCUCAUUUAAAGGAGCACUGGAGUGGCCAAGGAUAUUGAAUGUGUAUAACUUCAUAUUAUUUUUCCAAAAGAAGCCUCUACAAAACCUGGAUCCACCUCACCUGCAUUUAUAAUGUUAAUAAUACAUGUUAUUGAUUAUUCCAUGACCAUCCAUGAACCUGCUACUUAACGCAGGAAUUUAAACAUAACAAAAACUUACUUUAACUCUGAGUUCUGCCCCUCUCCCAUCCUCCCUCUCCCUCAGAGAUAGCCACUAUACUAAUUUUGUGUUUAUUGUCCCGUUGUCUUUUUGUUUUGUUUUGACACGUCAUUCGCUUUAAUAUAAAUACAUGUUUUGACUUGCACUGAACUUUGUGAAAGAAUAUUGUACUUGGUCUUCACUCAACAUAUUGUUGCAAGUAGUUGUGAUUCAAUCAUUUUCACUGCUGUUUAAUAUUCCAUUGUGUGAAUGUAUCAUAAUUAGUUUACUCAUUCUCCUGUCAAUGGGCAUUUGGGUUGUUUCAAAAAUUUUUGCUAUUUUGAAAGGUGCUGGUACAAAGAUUUUUGUAUAUAUUUUUGAAUAACCAUGUGCAAGAGUUUCCUUUGGGUAAAUACCUUGGAGUAGAAUUGCUGUUUCACAGAGUUUAAACAUGUUCACCUUUAUGAUAUAAUGUUAUGUUGUUUUCCAAAUCAUUUGGAACAAUAUACAAUGUAUGAGUGAUACAUUACAUAAGAGACCUAUUGUUUCAUCUCCUUUUCAAUACUUGAUAUUGUCAGGCUUCCUAUUUUCCCAAUUGUGUGGGUGUAGAAUGGUAUCUUUUUGCAGUCUGGCUUUCGAUUUCUUUAAUUACUAGUUAAGUUGUGCAUCUCUUCAUGUCAUUUGCAAUUCUUACAACAAUCUUGUAAGUUAGGGAUUAUCAUCACAAUGUGAUAGAUAUAGAAAAUAUGACACAGAGAGGUUAAGUAACAUAUCCAAGGUUACCCAGCUAGUAAGUGGUAGACCAAGGAUUCAUACUCAGUGUAAGCAAAGUUCUCACACCAAUUCUGUUAUAUUAACCACCUUAUUUCUUUGCUACAUAUGGUAUGGAAUAAAGAAUCUUGGAGAAGUUGCUGUUCCAGGUCUUGCAAGAUUGAAAACCUAAUCAUUGACAAGUUUUCAUGCUGUCGCCCCGGCUGGAGUGCAGUGGUACAAUCUUGGCUCAUUUCAACCUCUGCUUCCCAGGUUCAAGUAAUUCUCCUGUCUCAGCCUCCCAAGUAACUGGGAUUACAGACACGUGCCACCACACCCGGCUAAUUUUUGUAUUUUUAGUAGAGAUGGAGUUUCACCAUUUUGGCCAGGCUUGUCUCAAACUCAUGAAUCAAGUGAUCUGCCCGCCUUGGCCUCCCAAAGUGCUGGGAUUACAGGCAUGAGCCACCAUGCCUUCUAUUACAAAGAAAACCAAAUGAGCCAAAAUGCUGCUUGCUAAAUCCAACUGAGUAAUGAUUCCCCAUGAGAGGAUCAGUCAUUUUAACUGGGUGUGAAGAAGACUUCCCCAGUCAGAUGCACCACGAAGACGCUAGAAGGUGUGCAGAGGACAAACACCUUUCCUCCUUCCCAGCUGCCCUUGCGUUGAACCCAUCCCUAGUUUCAUUCGCCACCAUCAAAACUCUGGACUACGCAAAGAACUGGCCAUCCUAUGCAGUACACCUCCUUUCCAUUCCCUUUUAAUGGAGCAGUCUGGCUCCCCCAGGCCAGGGACAAAAGGACCAGGCCAGUGGCUGCUGGACAUCCUACCUGAAGGGAGCAUCACCCUCAUUCUCAGAAACAACCUAACACAGCAGGCAAACCAUCUAUAUAGUGCACUGUGCUCACUGGCAUGGGGACACAGCACAGGAGUCCUUCCAAUCCUGCCCCAGGUGGGGAUGCCCCUCUGGUCUACCUCAUCCCCAAGGAACUGGUGGGACCACUUUUCCCUUGAAGGCCUAGUCUGUCCACUCUGAAACCCACCACCUGAGGGUCUGGUCUCUGCUCACCAUUUCAACAACAGCCUCAUCUAGCCCCUGAUGCAGGCUAACUUGAAAUGCCCUCCUACUGAGGGACUGGCAGUGUCUCAAGUUCCCAGCCUACCCUGUCCCAGGGCAUUUAUAGUAGAGGAGGGGCAAUGCAGGGAGGAUCCUAUCUUGAAUCUCCUCCCUCCUCUCCAGUACCUUGAUUGCCCCUUAGGUAUUCCAAUGUGUCUCUUCCGCGCAUCCCACCCCAACCCCACCGUGUUCCUAAUAGGAGAGCUGCUCUUGGAUUCUAAAAUAUCAUUGUGAGGGGCUGGGUCUUCUUUGUCUGUGCUUUCCCAGAACUAGCAUGAAGACUGUCAAAGAGCAGAUGUUCAAUUCAUGUUUGGUGAAUGACAUAAUUCAGAUGUUUGUCCCUUCUAAAUGUCAUGUUGAGAUAUAAUUCCCAGUGUUGGAGGUAAGGCCUGGUGGGAGGUGUUUGGACCAUCAAGGAGGGUCCCUCAUGGCAUGGUGCUGCCCUGGCCAUAGUGAGCGACUUCCCCUAUCUCUGGUCAUUUGAAAGCAUGUGGCACCUCCCACCCCCGCUCUGCUUGGCUGUCUUUCCUCCCACUGUUGCCACGUGACAUGCCUGCACCACCUUCCCCUCCUGGCAUGAGGAAAAGCUCCCCAAGACCUCCCCAGAAGCAGUUGCUGGUGCCACGCUCAUAGCCUGGUGAACUGUGAGCAAGUCAACCUCUUUUCUUUAGCAAUUACCCAGUCUCAGGUAUGCCUUUAGAGCAACACAAGAACUGCCUAGCACAAGGAACAAAAGAGCCAGUGAGCAAGUGUUCUCCUUUAUGAUGAUUUAAUUUCUCCAACAUUCUUGAAUACACAUAGCAACUGUGAGUAUAUAGCUUUUCAUUUUAUCACAACAAAAGACUUAAAGAAAUAAGAUUUUUAAACGUCAAAGGUUGCCAAUCAAUCGACACUUUUUUCCCACCAUCUUGUGAUCCCAACUGAUGCAGUGUUCAGUUGUUUCACAGUUUAAAGCCAAUCGCUAUUCCAAUGCUAUUUCUUCUUGCACUAGAUCAUAAUCUAGUAAGUAAAAAUUUCCAAUUUGUUUUACAAAAUACAAGAACAUCACUCUUCAAUGUGAUAAACAGCAAUAAUUGUGUGAGGCACCUAAUUCAUGAACUUAGAUUCUGAAUCAAAGUCAAUCUCUUUCAAAGGAACACGCGGUAGACACAGAAGAGAAAGAGGAAUCUAUAAGUGGCUUGCAAAUAACCAGAACAAAAGAAAGACACGUCUUGGGCUCCCCACCUCACCCCCAAAUACUGAGAUGGUGGACAGGCUUUUCAAUCUCUUAGUGAGGAUUGCCUGAGACUUCACUA